UACGUAGGGUGCGAGCGUUAAUCGGAAUUACUGGGCGUAAAGAGCUCGUAGGUGGCUUGUCACGUCGGGUGUGAAAGCUUGGGGCUUAACUCCAGGUCUGCAUUCGAUACGGGCUGGCUAGAUGUAGGUAGGGGAGAACGGAAUUCCUGGUGUAGCGGUGAAAUGCGCAGAUAUCAGGAGGAACACCAAUAGCGAAGGCAGCUCGCUGGGACGUUACUGACACUGAGGCGCGAAAGCGUGGGGAGCAAACGGG
rnacentral:rRNA from 1 species